rnacentral:rRNA from 1 species
AGUGAACGCUGGCGGUAGGCCUAACACAUGCAAGUCGAACGGCAGCACAGUAAGAGCUUGCUCUUACGGGUGGCGAGUGGCGGACGGGUGAGGAAUACAUCGGAAUCUACUUUUUCGUGGGGGAUAACGUAGGGAAACUCACGCUAAUACCGCAUACGACCUACGGGUGAAAGCAUGGGAUCUUCGGACCUUGCGCGAUUGAAUGAGCCGAUGUCGGAUUAGCUAGUUGGCGGGGUAAAGGCCCACCAAGGCGACGAUCCGUAGCUGGUCUGAGAGGAUGAUCAGCCACACUGGAACUGAGACACGGUCCAGACUCCUACGGGAGGCAGCAGUGGGGAAUAUUGGACAAUGGGCGCAAGCCUGAUCCAGCCAUGCCGCGUGGGUGAAGAAGGCCUUCGGGUUGUAAAGCCCUUUUGUUGGGAAAGAAAAGCAGCAGGUUAAUACCCCGCUGUUCUGACGGUACCCAAAGAAUAAGCACCGGCUAACUUCGUG